GACGAACGCUGGCGGCGUGCCUAAUACAUGCAAGUAGGACGCAGUUGCGAACGGGUGAGUAACGCGUAGGUAACUACCUAUUAGAGGGGGAUAACUAUUGGAAACGAUAGCUAAUACCGCAUACUAGUAGAUGGACCUGCGUUGUAUUAGCUAGUAGGUAGGGGAAUGGCCUACCUAGGCAACGAUACAUAGGCGACUUGGGCGGGGGGUCGGCCCCACUGGGACUGGGAAACGGCCCAGGCUCCUACGGGAGGCAGCAGGAGGGAAUCUUCGGCAAUGGACGGAAGUCUGACCGAGCAACGCCGCGUGAGUGAAGAAGGUUUUCGGAUCGUAAAGCUCUGUUGUUAGAGAAGCGGUAACUAAACAGAAAGGGACGGCUAACUACGUGCCAGCCGCCGCGGUAAUUC
rnacentral:rRNA from 1 species